rnacentral:rRNA from 1 species
UUUUACAAUGGAGAGUUUGAUCCUGGCUCAGGAUGAACGCUAGCUACAGGCUUAACACAUGCAAGUCGAGGGGAAACGGCAUUUAGUGCUUGCACCGAAUGGACGUCGAC